CCUACGGGAGGCAGCAGUGGGGAAUAUUGCACAAUGGGGGAAACCCUGAUGCAGCGACGCCGCGUGAGUGAAGAAGUACUUCGUUAUGUUAAGCUCUAUCAGCAGGGAAGAAAAUGACGGUACCUGAGUACGAAGCUCCGGCUACCUACGUGCCAGCAGCCGCGGUAAUACGUAGGGGCCACGCGUUUACCGGAUUUAUUGGGUGUAAAGGGCGCGUAGACGGGAGUGCAAGUCUGGUGUGAAAGGCGGGGGCUCAACCCUCGGACUGCACUUGAAACUGGACGGCUGGAGUGCAGGAGCGGUAAGUGGAAUUCGUGGUGUAGCGGUGAAAUGCGUAGAUAUUAGGAAGAACACCGAUGGCGAAGGCAGCUUACUGGACUGUAACUGACGUUGAGGCUCGAAAGCGUGGGGAGCAAACAGGAUUAGAUACCCGGGUAGUC
rnacentral:rRNA from 1 species